GACGGAGGAUGCAAGUGUUAUCCGGAAUCACUGGGCGUAAAGCGUCUGUAGGUGGUUUAAUAAGUCAACUGUUAAAUCUUGAGGCUCAACCUCAAAAUCGCAGUCGAAACUAUUAGGCUAGAGUAUAGUAGGGGUAAAGGGAAUUUCCAGUGGAGCGGUGAAAUGCGUAGAGAUUGGAAAGAACACCGAUGGCGAAGGCACUUUACUGGGCUAUUACUAACACUCAGAGACGAAAGCUAGGGUAGCAAAUAGGG
rnacentral:rRNA from 1 species